AUAUAUAUAUAUAUUAAUUUUUUUUUUACCUUGUAGUAGUUAAAAAUAUUUUUACUUUUUUUUAUUUUACUUUUUUAAUGUUGGCAUUUUAUUUUAUGGUUUUACUUUAUUUUGCUUUUUUACUAAGAUAGGCUUUUCCUUUCAUUGAGAAGGGAAUUUAUUAUUUAUUUUUAAGGUUAUUGUCUUUCACAAUUUCUGGAUUAGAUUUGAGUGCUUUGUUCCUGACGUGGCAUGCAUAGAUACGUCAAAAAUGAAUACCAAAACGAUGCGUCUCCCUCCCCGUCGUGUUUUGACGUCAAAUAAGCGCAAGGGUAGGGAGGGUUUUGAUUCCCUGAAGCCGUCUCCACCACCAACACCAACAUCAACAACAAAAUUAGCCAAGCCGAACAUAUCUCAAGUCGGCGGGGGAAAAUUACCUGACCCUGUUUCGUCUAAUCAGCUCUUAGCCGGCUAUUUGGCGCAUGAAUAUCUCACUAAGGGAACAUUAUUUGGUCAACCGUGGGACCCGGCUCGAGCCGAAGAAGUAGCUUUGGAGCCGAAGAAGAUUAAGCCGAGCCAGAGGUUGAAAGAAGAAGAAACCCAGCCGAAUAAGGAAACUUAUAAAAGGUACGUGGAGGUAUCAAGUUUGUUGAAAGCGGGAGGGUCCCACUUACCUGGCGUUGUCAAUCCAAGCCAGCUCGCUCGCUUCUUGCAGAUGUGAAUAAUACGCUUGGAGAGAUGAUCUCAUGUGCUAGGGCGUAGAGGUGAGGUUUCGACGCGUGGAACCAAACCAUUGGGUGUCCACCUAGAACCAUUUUGGGAGAUUUUUAUUAGGUAGGGAUUCUGUGUUGUUGUGUGCAGAAAUGCUUGUUUAUAGAUCUGAUGUUCUGUUUCAGUAUAUAUUUGAUUUUAAAUUAAAAAUGGUCUUAUUUUAUUUCUUUCCCAAAUCAAAUCAUCUUAUUAUAAUUAGUCAAAUGAUUAUGAUUAGGAUGAUUUUAAUUAAUAAUAUAAAAUUCCA
rnacentral:misc_RNA from 1 species